rnacentral:piRNA from 1 species
UCACAUUCAUGAAGGGUUCUGUGAGUGU